rnacentral:rRNA from 1 species
AUUGAACGCUGGCGGCAAGCCUAACACAUGCAAGUCGAACGAGUGGCGGACGGGUGAGUAAUGUCUGGGAAACUGCCUGAUGGAGGGGGAUAACUACUGGAAACGGUAGCUAAUACCGCAUACCAUCUGAUGUGCCCAGAUGGGAUUAGCUAGUAGGUGGGGUAAAGGCUAACCUAGGCGACGAUCACUAGCUGGUCUGAGAGGAUGACCAGCCACUCUGGAACGGAGACACGGUCCAGACUCCGACGGUAGGCAGCAGUGGGGAAUAGUGCACAAGGGGCGCAAGCCUAAUGCGUCCAUGCCGCGUGUAUAUAGAAGGCCUUCGGGUUGUAAAGUACUUUCAGCGGGGAGGCGUUACCCGAAGAAGAAGCACCGGCUAACUCCGUGCCAGCAGCCGCGGUAAUAC